rnacentral:lncRNA from 10 species
CCAGAUGCUGAGGACACGAAGUGGACAAGACAGGUGAACAGUGAGGGUCCUGCUCUUUUGGAGCCUACCUCCUCGGGGGACCCAGACUUAUUUACACAAGUAAAUAAAAUAUUGUGUUAAUUGCAGAUGGCGCUGACUGCUUUGAUGAAAAUAGAACUGAGCAAUGCAUAUGGAGGGGUGACAGGAGACCAGAGGGGUGUCAAGGGCCUCUCCUGAGCUGAGAGUGGGAUGAGGAUAAGAAGCCAGCCAGGCCCUCAGCCUAGCGGUGCAGAGAGGACAUGGAUCUUCCCGAGAUGCCCACAGUCUAUGAGAGAGAAAGACCAAGAAACCGCUGGAGGACUGGGUGAGCAGUGCUCUGAACCGGAGAGGGGUGUCCGACUCAGGAAAGACACUGUGAAGGAGGUGACAUUUCAGCUGUCUCAGGAAGGACAAAUAGGAAGUGGCCUGUGAAGAAGUAGUAGUGGAGGACCAAAAUGUGGGACCGUGGGAGGAAGAGGGGACAGGACUGUUGUGGGGAACAUUGGGUGGGUGUAGGUGGAAAGUGAGGGGUGAAUUUGAGGAGACAAGGAGGAUGGAAAGGGUCUUGAAUGCCACACAAAGGCAUGUCACCUGGAAGCCAGGGGCAUUGAAGGGUUUUAAGCACACGAUGACACCAUCAGAUUUGUGUCUGCUCUGGUCACAUGCUAAUAUGCUUUCUCUUAGUCUGAUUUUGAGUGAGCUCGUGAGUAACCAACGCAAAGGGGUGGCCUGAGAAGGACUCCAUGCUUCUGUAUUUGAGUCCUUGUGGACAAACUGUAACUUAAUAGGUAGACAACAUUGAGUACCUAACUUAGGAGUAUGCACCUGUAAGAACUGCUGAGUCUUGGCCAAUCCCAGCGGCCAUACUUCAACCACUCAUACACCACUGAGUGUUCAAACUGUGUUCAAGUAAGGCAAAGGCCAACCUGUAACCAAUCCAGCUAUUUCUGUAGUUCACCUCCAAUAUCUUUUUUUUUUUUU